rnacentral:rRNA from 1 species
GACGAACGCUGGCGGCGUGCUUAACACAUGCAAGUCGAACGCUGAAGACCUGGCUUUUGUUGGGUUGGAUGAGUGGCGAACGGGUGAGUAACACGUGAGUAACCUGCCCUCUUCUUUGGGAUAACGCCCGGAAACGGGUGCUAAUACUGGAUAUUCACUGAUCUUCGCAUGGGGGUUGGUGGAAAGGUUUGUUCUGGUGGGGGAUGGGCUCGCGGCCUAUCAGCUUGUUGGUGGGGUGAUGGCCUACCAAGGCUUUGACGGGUAGCCGGCCUGAGAGGGUGACCAGUCACAUUGGGACUGAGAUACGGCCCAGACUCCUACGGGAGGCAGCAGUGGGGAAGAUUGCACAAUGGGCGAAAGCCUGAUGCAGCGACGCCGCGUGAGGGAUGGAGGCCUUCGGGUUGUAAACCUCUUUCGCUCAUGGUCAAGCCGCAACUGUGGGUUGUGGUGAGGGUAGUGGGUAAAGAAGCGCCGGCUAACUACGUG